GCAGCCACAGGGACCUCAGAGGGACUGUAUUGAAAACUUUGGCGCCCGCUAGAGGACUAAGUAGCCACAGUAAGAACAGAUCACGGAACAACAGACUGGUUCAAGAUUGGGAAAGGAGUGCGGCUGGGCUGCAUACUUUCACCCUCCCUAUUCAACUUCACAUCAUGCGACAUGUGGGGCUUGACGAAUCCAAGGCUAGAGUUAAAAUUGCUGGAAGAAACAUUAACAACCUUAGGUAUGCAGAUGAUACCACUCUGAUGGCCGAAAGCGAGGAGGAGCUGAGGAGCCUUAUCACCAAGGUGAAAGAAGAAAGUGCAAAAGCUGGGUUGCAGUUAAACGUCAAGAAAACCAAUAUCAUGGCAACUACAACUAUGGAUAAUUGGCAAAUAGAGGGAGAAAACGUGGAGGCAGUGACAGACUUUAUAUUUCUAGGCACAAAGAUCGCUGCAGAUGCAGAUGCAGCCAGGAAAUCAGAAGAUGUUUACUUCUUGGGAGGAGAGCAAUGACCAAUCUUGAAAAGAUAGUGAAGAGCAGAGGCAUCACACUGGCAACGAAGGUCCCCAUAGUCAAAGCAAUGGUAUUCCCCAUAGUAACCUAUGGAUGUGAGAGCUGGACCAUAAGGAAGGCUGAGCGAAGGAAGAUAGAUGCUUUUGAACUCUGGUGCUGGAGGAAAAUCCUGAGUGCCUUGGACCGCAAGAAGGUCCAAUCAGUCCAUCCUCCAGGAAAUAAUGCCCAAUGGCUGCUCACUGGAGGGAAGGAUAGUAGAGGCAAAGCUGAAGUAUUUUGGCCACAUCAUGAGGAGACAGGAAAGCUUUGAAAAGAUCACGAUGCUGGGGAAAAUAGAAGGAAAAAGGAAGAGAGGCCAACCAAGGGCAAGAUGGAUGGACGGUAUCCUUGAAGUGAUUGGGUUGACCUUGAAGGAACUGGGGGCGGUGACGGCCGACAGGGAGCUCUGGCAUGGACUGGUCCAUGAGGUCAUGAAGAGUUGGAGACGACUAAACGACUGAGUAGCAGAGGACUCAAGCUCAUGUGCGGGGAAGUCCAAUUAAUAUUGUUGUUAGUAUAACAACAACAAUAUCCUGCAAAUCUCUUGGGAAGACAGGCAGACCAAGGUCAGUGUGUUGAAAGAAGCAAAGACCACCAGCCUUGAAGCGAUGCUCCUACACCAUCACCUCCACUGGACUGAAUGCCACGUUGUCCAAAUGCCCGCUCACCGUUUCCCAAAGCAGUUACUCUACUCCCAACUCAAGAACAGAAAACAGAAUGUUGUUGGACAGGGAAAGAGAUUGAAAGACGGUCUUAAAGCUAACAAGCUGAAGCUAAAUCCUGACAAGACAGAGGUCCUCCAGGUCGGUCAAAUGACUGACCAGGGUAUAGUGUGGCAACGUGUGUUCAAUGGGGUCACACUCCCUCAAAGACACAGGUCCACAGUCCAGGGGUCCUCCUGGAUUCAGUGCUAACGCUUGAUGCUCAGGUGUCAGGGUGGCUGGGAGGGCCUUUGCACAACUAAAACUUGUGUGCCAGCUGCGACCGUACCUUGUGAAGUCUGAUCUGGCCAUGAUGACCUAUGCCUUGGUUACCUCUAGACUGGAUUAUUGCAAUGCGUUCUAUGUGGGGCUGCCCUUGAACACCCAGAAACUUCAAUUGGUCCAACUCUCGACAGCCAGGCUAACUGGUGCGACUUACAGGGAGCAGUCAACCCCCCUGUUCAUGGAGCUCCACUGGCUGCUGUUUACUUUCCGGUUCCAAUUCAAGGUGCAGGUUAUUACCCACAAAGCCCUAAACGGUUCGGGACCUGCCUACCUUCAUGACCGCAUUUCUCCCUAUGAACCGGCGCAAUCUCUUCAAUCUUUGGGGGAGGCCCUCCUCUCACUCCUGCCUCCGUCUCAGGCACGGCUUCUGGGGGCGAGGGAGAGGGCCUUCUCUGUGGUUUCCCCCGACUCUGGAACCCGCUCCCCAGGGAGAUUAGGCAGGCACCCACUCUGCAGGCUUUUGGAGAGUGAAUAAUCAUCCCAUGUUAGGUACCCGUCCCAGUGACCAUUACUGUACUUGAUGUAUUUUAUUCUAUCCCAUCAGUUAGAAAUAAUUUCAGUGUGUACCACAGCCCAAAUCUCCUAUCAAUUGCAGCACUUGGGCUUUCUACUUCAUUUUCUCGUUCACAGUAUAAUCUAUGUGCACUUUGGCCCAGUUUGUUUUAUAAUCCUUGCUCAGGUUUAGACUAUGAUUUUAUGAUUUCAAUGGAUUUUACUGUUUUUAAUGUUUAGUGCCCUGUGCAAAGGAUCGUUACCUUGACGUGGUGCUGGGGCUUGAGUGCCUCGAUGAGGCCAUGAGCUAUACCGUGCAGGGCCACCCAAGACGGGAAGGUCAUGGCAGAGAAGUCAGACCAAGCACGAUCCCUGGGGAAGGUAAUGGCAACCCACCCCAGUAUUCUUGCCAUGAAAACUAUAUGGAUCAGUACAACCAGAGAAAUGUCAGUAUACCAUCGGAAGAUAGGACCCCAGGUCGGAAGAUGGUCAAAAUGCAACUAGGGAGGAACAGAGGACUAGUCCAAGUAGCCCCAGAUGUGAUGACGCAGUUAGCUCAAAGCCGAAAGGAAGGCUAACGGCUGGAGGUGAAGGACGAAUCCGAUGUUCUAGAGAUCAACUCACUAUAGGAACCUGGAAUGUAAGAUCUAUGAGCCAGGCAAAACUGGAUGUGGUUACUGGUGAGAUGUCAAGAUUAAAGAUAGACAUUCUGGGAGUCAGUGAACUGAAAUGGACUGAAUGGGCCACUUCACAAAAGAUGACCACCAGAUCUACUACUGCAGACAAGAGGAACACCGAAGAAAUGGAGUAGCCUUCAUAGUUAAUAAUAAAGUUGUGAAAGCAGUGAUUGGAUACAACCCCAAAAAAUGAUAGAAUGAUCUCAAUUCGAGUUCAAGGCAAGCCAUUUAACAUCACAGUGAUCCAAAUAUACUGGGAGCUCUGGCGUGGACUGGUCGAUGAGGUCACGAAGAGUCGGAGACGACUAAACGACUGAGCAGCAGCAAUGUUUAGUGACAUUUCAAGAGGUGGCUGUGGAUUUCACAGAGGAGAGGGCUCUCCAUGGAGAAGUGAUGGAAGAGAACUUGACCGCUGUGUCCUCUCUCCUUUCCCCUUGCAGCUCAUCAAAUCAAUUUGCAAGAGACAAAGCAUUGUUUUGGUGCUCUUCUUCAGCCUUCCUGUAUUUGUCAUGUACAGGCUAACUCUAAUCUAGAAAAGUUCUCAAAAAUCUAGAAGCUUUAGUCAGAAAAACAAGAGUAGAUUUCACUAAAUAGUCAUUAGAAAUGAAGGAUUAGGGGUUAUAAAAUAUAUAGUUAUAAGCAUGAAUUUUCAACUUGCAUUUUGUGUAUUUUAAUAUGUAUUUUAUAGAAAUAUGUUUUAAAUAUGCAUCUUUAUUGAAAUACAUUUUAAUAUGUAUAUUUCUAGAAUUUUUACAAUAUUUUUGUGUUUUAAUUAUGCUGUAACAUACCUCAAUCCACAAGGAGAGGUGAGCAAUAAUAAUAUUACAAAGGCUACAACCCAAUUCCUCAAUUAAUGAAAACAUCCCAUGAAUGAUCUCCCCUUCCCCCCUUUAUACACUGUCUCUCACCAUCAUCAUCACAAAACACAAAGAAAAAGGACACACUUAAACAGUCCAAACCUGAGGUGUUAGCUGUGAAGAAAAUUAUAUUAUUGCUUGUGGGAAUACAACAUAAGGUUUGUGAGCUCUGAAAUUCCAACAAUGUUCUAAACUUUGACAUGGUUCCACCUACGUUGCAUUUCCGAAACUAUUCUUUAUUUUUGCCACCCUCCAUGAAUUCAUAUCAUUUCUAUAAAACAUGAAUAUUUUGGUGUGGUAUAAUGUAGGAAUUCAACCAUUUUACUGAUUUCUUUCCUAUGUGAGUUGUCAGAGGACGAGUGAGACGUAUUUUCUGAUUGAAGCUCUUUCCAUAAUCUUGGUGGUGAUUUAGGCUUAUGGGUAACUUUUUCCACACUCCGCAUACUUACAAAGUUUCUCCCCCACAUCUAUACUUUGAUGUGACACAAGGGCCGACUUUGAGCUGAACCUGUUUCCACACUCCAAAAACUCAAAGGGAUACUUUGCUGUGUGGGUUCUGUAAUGGCGAGUGAGGUGUUGCUUUUGGGAGAAUCUCUUCCCACACUGAAAUAUGAAAAUGGUUUCUCUCUUUUAUGUGCUGCCAGAUGACAAGUGAGUCUUUCCUUCCAAGUGAAGCCCUUUCCAAACUACAGACAUAAACUGUUUCUCCCGAGUGAGUUGAUUGAUGAUUUGUGAUGUCAGGAUCACCAUAGCAGCCUGGAACUGGCUACUUCGGUUCUCUGCCAGAAAGAAGGGAGGUAGGAGGAAGGGAGGCUGGGAACAGGGUAGUGUAGGUAAGACAUCUGUUUUGUGAGGGAAAUAGAAAUUGCAGUUAACAGACUGUGGGCACACUGGGGCAGAUGGGAGUUGGGCUGUGAUAUUACAGGGUGUUUGAGUGGGAAAGAUGGAAUAAAUCAUUUGCUUCCA